rnacentral:rRNA from 1 species
GACGAACGCUGGCGGCGUGCCUAAUACAUGCAAGUAGGACGCAGUUGCGAACGGGUGAGUAACGCGUAGGUAACUGCCUCUUAGAGGGGGAUAACUCAUGGAAACGAUAGCUAAUACCGCAUACUCGUAGAUGGACUUGCGUUGUAUUAGGUAGUAGGUAGGGUAAUGGCCUACCGAGGCGACGCUACAUAGCCGACCCGAGAGGGGGAUCGGCCACCCUGGGACUGGGACACGGGCCAGACUCCGACGGGAGGCAGCAGUAGGGAAUCUUCGGCAAUGGGGGGAACCCUGACCGAGCAACGCCGCGUGAGUGAAGAAGGUUUUCGGGUUGUAAAGCUCUGUUGUUAAGGAAGCGGUACUUAACCAGAAAGGGACGGCUAACUACGUGCCAGCAGCCGCGGUAAUUC